GUGCUUGGUGUUCGAAUUUUGGUUAUUAUUUAGUAAAAAAUCGAUACGAGUACAUUGAAAAGACGGUGAAAUUAUCUUAAUAUAGACAUCGAAGUAAAUAGAAUGGUGCGUUGUCGUGUUAUUGCAUGUAUAAGCGAUAGUGAGAAGAAAAUUGCCGGUGUGUCUUUUCACGCAUGAUCCAGACCUACGUAAUUAAUGGAUCGAAGUGGUAGAAAAGAUUGGAUUCUCACAAAAUAUUGUAAAAUAUGAACAAGCCAAUGAAAAAGUAAGAAAUGUGUUUCGUCAUCAAUAAUCAAUCUGCUUAUAUUUUUUGUAUCUACUAAAUUGAUUAUAAAGACAAAAGAAAAAUCUCA